UACGGAGGGUGCGAGCGUUAAUCGGAAUUACUGGGCGUAAAGGGUGCGUAGGUGGUUUAUUAAGUUAUCUGUGAAGGCCCUGGGCUCAACCUGGGAAGGUCAGAUAAAAACUGGUGAACUCGAGUACGGGAGAGGGUAGUGGAAUUUCCGGUGUAGCGGUGAAAUGCGUAGAUAUCUGGAGGAACACCGGUGGCGAAGGCGGGUCUCUGGCCCGAUACUGACGCUGAGGCACGAAAGCGUGGGGGAGCAAACAGG
rnacentral:rRNA from 1 species